GCCUACGGGGGGCAGCAGUGGGGAAUAUUGCACAAUGGGGGGAACCCUGAUGCAGCGACACCGCGUGAGUGAAGAAGUAUUUCGGUAUGUAAAGCUCUGUCCGCAGGGAAGAAGAAAGACGGUACCUGACCAAGAAGCCCCGGCUAACUACGUGCCAGCAGCCGCGGUAAUACGUAGGGGGCAAGCGUUAUCCGGAUUUACUGGGUGUAAAGGGAGCGUAGACGGCAGGGCAAGUCUGGAGUGAAAGGCAGGGGCCCAACCCC
rnacentral:rRNA from 1 species